AAGCUCUGAACUUAAGCCCCAGUAAACGGCGGCCGUAACUAUAACGGUCCUAAGGUAGCGAAAUUCCUUGUCGGGUAAGUUCCGACCUGCACGAAAGGCGUAACGACUUGGGCGCUGUCUUGAAGGGGGACCCGGUGAAAUUGUAGUACUCGUGAAGAUGCGAGUUACCCGCGACAGGACAGAAAGACCCCAUGGAGCUUUACUGCAGCUUGUCACUGAAUUUUAGUAAUAUCUGUACAGGAUAGGUGGGAGGCGGAGAAAUAUGGGCGCCAGCCUAUAUGGAGCCAACGUUGGGAUACCACCCUGAUAUUACCGAAAUUCUAACAUAGGAGCCGUAAACCGGCAUAUGGACACUGACAGGCGGGCAGUUUGACUGGGGCGGUCGCCUCCUAAAAAGUAACGGAGGCGUCCAAAGGUUACCUCAGCGCGGAAGGAAAUCGCGCGAAAGAGUGCAAAGGCAGAAGGUAGCCUAACUGCGAGAAAGACAAUUCGAGCAGGGACGAAAGUCGGGCUUAGUGAUCCGGCGGUAGAGAAUGGGAUUGCCGUCGCUCAACGGAUAAAAGCUACCCUGGGGAUAACAGGCUGAUCUCCCCCAAGAGUCCACAUCGACGGGGAGGUUUGGCACCUCGAUGUCGGCUCAUCGCAUCCUGGGGCUGAAGUAGGUCCCAAGGGUUGGGCUGUUCGCCCAUUAAAGCGGUACGCGAGCUGGGUUCAGAACGUCGUGAGACAGUUCGGUCCCUAUCCGUCGCGGGCGCAGGAAAUUUGAGAGGAUCUGCCCUUAGUACGAGAGGACCGGGGUGGACAAACCGAUGGUGUACCAGUUGCAAAGCCUUUUGCACAGCUGGGUAGCCAAGUUUGGAAGGGAUAAACGCUGAAAGCAUCUAAGCGUGAAACCCACCUCAAGAUAAGAUUUCCCAUCCGAAAGGAGUAAGACACCUUGAAGAAGACGAGGUAGAUAGGCCGGAGGUGUAAGAGUAGAAAUACUUUCAGCUGACCGGUACUAAUAAGUCGAGGACUUGACC
rnacentral:ncRNA from 1 species